rnacentral:rRNA from 1 species
UACGUAGGGGGCUAGCGUUGUCCGGAAUCAUUGGGCGUAAAGAGCGUGUAGGCGGUCCGGUAAGUCCGUUGUGAAAGUCAGGGGCUCAACCCUUGAAUGCCGGCGGAUACUGUCGGGCUAGAGUCCGGAAGAGGAGAGUGGAAUUCCUGGUGUAGCGGUGAAAUGCGCAGAUAUCAGGAAGAACACCUAUGGCGAAGGCAGCUCUCUGGGACGGUACUGACGCUGAGACGCGAAAGCGUGGGGAGCGAACAGG